rnacentral:misc_RNA from 1 species
GAUGAAGAACGUAGCGAAAUGCGAUAAGUAAUGUGAAUUGCAGAAUUCAGUGAAUCAUCGAAUCUUCGAACGCACAUUGCGCCCGCCAGUAUUCUGGCGGGCAUGCCUGUUCGAGCGUCAUUACAACCCUCAGGCCCCCGGGCCUGGCGUUGGGGAUCGGCGGAGCCCCCCGUGGGCACACGCCGUCCCCCAAAUGCAGUGGCGGUCCCGCCGCAGCUUCCAUCGCGUAGUAGCUAACACCUCGCGACUGGAGAGCGGCGCGGCCACGCCGUAAAACACCCAACUCUUCUGAAGUUGACCUCGAAUCAGGUAGGAAUACCCGCUGAACUUAAGCAUAUCAAUAAGCGGAGGA